CACCGACAUCAAUGAUUCGUUCUGCGAACCUGCGCCCACCGCCAGAUAGGCAUGCAUCCCCAGCUCUUUCAUCUGCUGUUCGCCAAUAACGCGGGUGGUGAUAUGUGUGCUGAAGGCAUCCGCCAGUUGACGCGCCUGUGAGGCCAGGUAACCGGCGUUGCAUAUGUUCGGCGGCAUGUUGCCGAGAUCUUUGGC
rfam:Serratia symbiotica genome assembly, type strain CWBI-2.3T, contig: SYMBAF_Contig_11